UCUUUUUCCACCGGAGCUUGCUCCACCGGAAAAAGAAGAGUGGCGAACGGGUGAGUAACACGUGGGUAACCUGCCCAUCAGAAGGGGAUAACACUUGGAAACAGGUGCUAAUACCGUAUAACAAUCGAAACCGCAUGGUUUUGAUUUGAAAGGCGCUUUCGGGUGUCGCUGAUGGAUGGACCCGCGGUGCAUUAGCUAGUUGGUGAGGUAACGGCUCACCAAGGCCACGAUGCAUAGCCGACCUGAGAGGGUGAUCGGCCACAUUGGGACUGAGACACGGCCCAAACUCCUACGGGAGGCAGCAGUAGGGAAUCUUCGGCAAUGGACGAAAGUCUGACCGAGCAACGCCGCGUGAGUGAAGAAGGUUUUCGGAUCGUAAAACUCUGUUGUUAGAGAAGAACAAGGAUGAGAGUAACUGUUCAUCCCUUGACGGUAUCUAACCAGAAAGCCACGGCUAACUACGUGCCAGCAGCCGCGGUAAUACGUAGGUGGCAAGCGUUGUCCGGAUUUAUUGGGCGUAAAGCGAGCGCAGGCGGUUUCUUAAGUCUGAUGUGAAAGCCCCCGGCUCAACCGGGGAGGGUCAUUGGAAACUGGGAGACUUGAGUGCAGAAGAGGAGAGUGGAAUUCCAUGUGUAGCGGUGAAAUGCGUAGAUAUAUGGAGGAACACCAGUGGCGAAGGCGGCUCUCUGGUCUGUAACUGACGCUGAGGCUCGAAAGCGUGGGGAGCAAACAGGAUUAGAUACCCUGGUAGUCCACGCCGUAAACGAUGAGUGCUAAGUGUUGGAGGGUUUCCGCCCUUCAGUGCUGCAGCUAACGCAUUAAGCACUCCGCCUGGGG
rnacentral:rRNA from 1 species